AUAGUUCACACUAAAAAUCCUAGUUCAUAUUUUGCUUUAGCUUACACAACCAAGCCUUAGCCUAAUGGUUUAGCUAUUUCUUUUCAUCUAUGGAGAGAUCAGAGCCUCUUGGCAUCGAACCCUUGAUCUCAAACAUGAUAGUCAGUCGCUUGACAGUUAAGUUACAAGUCAAGAAUAAGCUUUAGGCUAUGGGUAAAUAAUUUUCAGGCGGUGUUAUUACUGUUUAUAUGCAGUAAUUUGUGUAUUAAUUAUACAUGUGUGUUUAAAAUUUACCAGUAAGCGAGGUGAUUAUCAGCCGCAACUAAUACAUAACUAUUCCUAAAAAUAAAUGUAGUAAAUAUGAAGCAUAAGCAUGUCAAAAUCUGUAUAACAGAAAAUUCAAUUUGAUAAGAAAUAUUGAGACAAACGCACAGGAUCCAUUAAACAGAGCGAAAUCUAUAACUAAGCUUCAUUAAUAGUACUAUCAACCAAUUAACACCAUAGGCACCCUCCUUUUGCUGGGAGAUUUCAUCAGACACAACUCACAAGUGGCAUCGAAGUUCUUCCCUUUGUCAUUACUAUUAUGUUCUACAUGGCAAUUUUCAAGAAAUAGCAGAGAAGAACUAUGCAGAACUCAGAAUCCACAUAUGCUAAUUAAUGGCAAAGCUGGAAAAUUUUUGAUAUAAAUCCAGAGUCAAAGGAAAUGUAGAGAACGAGUGACUAAAAGAAAAAAAAUAGCUUUGUAAUUGAAAAAUCUGAACACGAAGAACUUUCCAUGUAAUGAGAGAAGACAUCUGGUGGAUUAAGCUCCUUUAAUAGAAAACCAUAACAUCAUGAUUUUUUGGAGUACUUCGAGUGAAUUCACAUAAAACAUAAAAAGGGAAAAAUAUAUUACCUGGAUAAAUUUGAGCAGAGAAACGUUCCUAAUCUAAUGUGAGCACAAAGAAGUUUUUUCGCUAGUAUACUUCUGCGAAAUUGUAGUUGCACCAUAUAGAACUUCUUUCCUUAGGUUUUUCUUAUUUGGAAGUAGUUGGAAAAGAGAUCUUUUUACCUUACUGAAACAAAAUUGUAAGGUAAACAAAACUUUGCAGACUUUGGUUUUCCCCUUCUAUUUUCCGAAAAAGAUUAAU
rnacentral:lncRNA from 1 species